rnacentral:misc_RNA from 1 species
GUUUUGGAGAAUAUUUGGGGCGAACUCGAUGGUGGACGUGACCGACGAGGUGGUGUGUCUUGGAUUUCUUGAUGGAGGAAUCAGGCCGAGGACUUCGAUUGUGAUCGGCGGGCAUCAGAUUGAGGAUAAUUUGCUGGAGUUUGAUUUGGAGCGGUCAACGCUGGGGUUCAGCUCGUCGCUGCUGUUCAGACAGACUACAUGUGCUAACUUCAAUUUCACAUCUAAUGCUUAGAUGUGAAGUCCAGUUGUUCUUUGCCUAAGGUUUACCAAUAAUUGAAUGGGUUCUGUUCCAAUCUGUUUGGUCGCG